AUGAGAAAAGGGUUCAAUAGCUUGUCUCCCCCAUCCUCCGAGUGCUGUAUCUACAGAGUUCCUCAACGACUACGAAGUGUGAAUGAAAAGCUCUGCACACCUCAGGUGGUCUCUAUAGGCCCACUUCACCAUGGAAAGGAAGGCUUGAAUGUCGUAUAGGAAGAGCACAAACAGAGAUACCUGCAAGAUUUUAUAGGUCGGACCAAUGUGAGUUUGGAGGAUUAUAUUAAGAAAAUAAAGGACCACGAAGCAAGAUUGAGACGUUGUUAUGGAGAACCCAUCAAGUUUAGCAGUGAUGAAUUUGUAACAAUCAUUCUAGUGGAUGCCGCCUUCGUUAUUGAGCUCUUAUUGAAGGACUACUUCAAAUUUUGGGAUGAAAAUGACCGCAUAUUUGACAAACCAGGUAUGUUGCAAGAUGUAUGGACAGAUAUGUGGUUGCUUGAAAAUCAGUUGCCAUUCUUAAUUCUCGAGGAUCUUUUCGACCCACAGAAAAUUACACUCCCUGCUGAUGCUGACAAUAACUGCAUUACUGAGGGGCUUUCAAUAAUUAGUCUUUCUUUCAGUUUCUUCGAACAUCUAUUGCCUGUUGACAAAAUGGAAGACAAUUUGGAGACUUUUAGAUCAGUGGCACAUAUUGUUGAUCUUUUCAGGAAAAUAUUUAAACUCUAUCAACCGUUGGAAUCAAAAGCUGGAGGGGAACUCCCAUCAUCCAUACCCAGCUUGACAGAAUUACAGCACGCUGGAGUCAAGUUUGAGGCGCGACAAGGUGAAAACAUAUUUGACAUACAAUUCAGUAGCACCAAUGGGGUUCUGAAGAUCCCACCAUUUCCAUUGGGGUUCACUACAGAAAUAAUGAGAAAUGUCCUUGCCUUUGAACAAUUGCAUUACCCGAUGAGUAAUGAUAAUUACACAUGAGUCAGUAUGUUUCCUUAAUGGGUGGUUUGGUGAAAACCUCAGGGGAUGUGGAGUUGCUUAUUGAGUAUGGAAUCGCAUAUUCUGAGAGAUAUCUGAUACGCGGAAACAUUGAGGGGUUUACUUCAUUAUUAGUUAACAGCCUUUUCAUUGGGGUUCCUAUAGAUGUUGAUAACUUC
rnacentral:lncRNA from 1 species